GACGAACGCUGGCGGCGUGCCUAAUACAUGCAAGUCGAGCGCAGGAAAUCGACGGAACCCUUCGGGGGGAAGUCGACGGAAUGAGCGGCGGACGGGUGAGUAACACGUAAAGAACCUGCCCUCAGGUCUGGGAUAACCACGAGAAAUCGGGGCUAAUACCGGAUGGGUCAUCGGACCGCAUGGUCCGAGGAUGAAAGGCGCUCCGGCGUCGCCUGGGGAUGGCUUUGCGGUGCAUUAGCUAGUUGGUGGGGUAAUGGCCCACCAAGGCGACGAUGCAUAGCCGCCCUGAGAGGGUGAUCGGCCACACUGGGACUGAGACACGGCCCAGACUCCUACGGGAGGCAGCAGUAGGGAAUCUUCCACAAUGGACGAAAGUCUGAUGGAGCAACGCCGCGUGAACGAUGAAGGCCUUCGGGUCGUAAAGUUCUGUUGUAAGGGAAGAACAAGUGCCGCAGGCAAUGGCGGCACCUUGACGGUACCUUGCGAGAAAGCCACGGCUAACUACGUGCCAGCCGCCGCAGUAA
rnacentral:rRNA from 1 species